CCUACGGGGGGCAGCAGUGGGGAAUAUUGGACAAUGGGGGGAACCCUGAUCCAGCCAUGCCGCGUGUGUGAAGAAGGCCCUCGGGUUGUAAAGCACUUUCAGUGAGGAAGAACGCCUGGUGGUUAAUACCCAUCAGGAAAGACAUCACUCACAGAAGAAGCACCGGCUAACUCCGUGCCAGCAGCCGCGGUAAUACGGAGGGUGCGAGCGUUAAUCGGAAUUACUGGGCGUAAAGCGCGCGUAGGUGGCUUGAUAAGCCGGUUGUGAAAGCCCCGGGCUCAACCUGGGAACGGCAUCCGGAACUGUCAAGCUAGAGUGCAGGAGAGGAAGGUAGAAUUCCCGGUGUAGCGGUGAAAUGCGUAGAGAUCGGGAGGAAUACCAGUGGCGAAGGCGGCCUUCUGGACUGACACUGACACUGAGGUGCGAAAGCGUGGGGAGCAAACAGGAUUAGAUACCCCAGUAGUC
rnacentral:rRNA from 1 species